GUGCCAGCCGCCGCGGUAACACGUAGGGGGCGAGCGUUGUCCGGAAUUACUGGGCGUAAAGGGUGCGUAGGCGGCCUGAUAAGUCAAGUGUGAAAUACCCGGGCUCAACCUGGGUGGUGCACGUGAAACUGUCGGGCUUGAGUGCAGGAGAGGGAAGUGGAAUUCCUAGUGUAGCGGUGAAAUGCGUAGAUAUUAGGAGGAACACCAGUGGCGAAGGCGGCUUCCUGGACUGUAACUGACGCUGAGGCACGAAAGCGUGGGGAGCAAACAGGAUUAGAUACCCUGGUAGUCCACGCCGUAAACGCUGGAUACUAGGUGUAGGUACCGUUAGGUAUCUGUGCCGUAGUUAACGCAAUAAGUAUCCCGCCUGGGGAGUACGGCCGCAAGGCUGAAACUCAAAGGAAUUGACGG
rnacentral:rRNA from 1 species